rnacentral:rRNA from 1 species
UAUAAAGUCUAAUCUGCCCAAUGAGUAGUUAAAUGGCCGCGGUAUUUUGACCGUGCAAAGGUAGCAUAAUAAUUAGUUUUUUAAUUGAAAGCUGGAAUGAAUGAUUGGACGAGAAAAUUACUGUCUUGGUUUAAUUUUAUUUGAAUUUUAUUUUUAAGUUAAAAAGCUUAAAUUUUUUUAAAAGACGAGAAGACCCUAUAGAGUUUUAUAAAUUAUUUUAAUAGUAAUUGAUAAGUAUAAUUUUAUUAUUAUAAUUUUAUUUAUUUUAUUGGGGCGAUAGAAAAAUUAAUUAAACUUUUUUUAUUUUAAUUCAUUUAUUUAUGUUUUAUUGAUCCAAAAUUUUUGAUUAUAAGAUUAAAUUACCUUAGGGAUAACAGCGUAAUUUUUUUUUAGAGUUCUAAUCGAAAAAAAAGUUUGCGACCUCGAUGUUGGAUUAAAAUUAAUUUUUGGUGUAGAAGCUAAAGUAAUUAGGUCUGUUCGACCUUUAAAAUUUUACAUGAUCUGAGUUUAAACCGGUGUGAGCCAGGUUGGUUUCUAUCUUUAAAUAAAGAAAAUAUUUUAGUACGAAAGGACCAAAUAUUUAUAAUAUUUAUUUGUUAGUGAUUAAUAUUAAUAA